rnacentral:rRNA from 1 species
AACGAACGCUGGCGGCAUGCCUAACACAUGCAAGUCGAACGAGACCUUCGGGUCUAGUGGCGCACGGGUGCGUAACGCGUGGGAACCUGCCCUUAGGUUCGGAAUAACUCCCCGAAAGGGGUGCUAAUACCGGAUAAUGUCUUCGGACCAAAGAUUUAUCGCCUUUGGAUGGGCCCGCGUUGGAUUAGCUAGUUGGUAGGGUAAAAGCCUACCAAGGCGACGAUCCAUAGCUGGUCUGAGAGGAUGAUCAGCCACACUGGGACUGGGACACGGCCCAGACUCCUACGGGAGGCAGCAGUGGGGAAUAUUGGACAAUGGGCGAAAGCCUGAUCCAGCAAUGCCGCGUGAGUGAUGAAGGCCUUAGGGUUGUAAAGCUCGUUUACCCGGGAUGAUAAUGACAGUACCGGGAGAAUAAGCUCCGGCUAACUCCGUG